GACGAACCGUGCGAACGUUAUUCGGAAUCACUGGGCUUAAAGCGCGUGUAGGCGGAUGGGAACGUCGGCUUCUGAAAGCCCCCGGCUCAACCGGGGGAAGUGGGGCCGAAACGACCCGUCUCGAGGGACGUAGGGGGAGUCUGGAACUUCCGGUGGAGCGGUGAAAUGACGUUGAGAUCGGAAGGAACGCCCGUGGCGAAAGCGAGAUCCUGGACGUUUUCUGGACGCUGAGACGCGAAAAGCUAGGGGAGCAAACGGGG
rnacentral:rRNA from 1 species